GCCAGGCGUGGUGGCGCACACCUGUAAUCCCAGCUACUCAGGAGGCUGAGGCAGAAGAAUCGCUUGAGCCUGGGAGGCGGAGGCUGCAGUGAGCCGAGAUCGUGCCACUGCACUCCAGCCUGGGCUACAGAGCAAGACUCCGUCUCAA
ensembl:misc_RNA Metazoa_SRP Metazoan signal recognition particle RNA